CAAAGAACUUUGAAGAGAGAGUUUAAGAGGGCGUGAAACCGCUUAGAAGGAAACGGACGGAGCUGAAAAGUCAGAUGCUAGAUUCAAUGAUCCUGUCGCACUCUUUGUGCGUUAGGGCCAUGCAUUUCUGGGAUCUGCGCGCUACGACCAAUUUUUUAGCUGGCUAAGUACGGUAUGGUGCCGGCUGAGUCAUUGACUCAGUGUCCCCUAUGCCGUUACUGUCUGUGUCUGAAAUAUUGGAGACAACCGCGAAAGCCUGCUUCGUACCUAGUGAAACUUGCCGGUGCUUUAACUGUGAAGCUCUAAUUGCAGAGCUUGACGACUACUGUGCAAAUGUAGCUAGGAUUGCGAGCGGUGCGCGAGAGUCUGUGGCGUCCAUGUCAGCCACCCGUCUGACCCGUCUUGAAACACGGACCAAGGAGUCUAACAUGUGCGCAAGUCAUUGAGUGGCAAACUCAAAGGCGCAAUAAAAGUAAAGGCUAGUUUAGCUAGUCAAGGUGAGAUCCCAAGUUUCCUUGGGCGCAUCACCGUCCCGUCCUUUGGGUGACGUCCCUUGGGUGGAGAAAGAGCGUACAUGUUGGGACCCGAAAGAUGGUGAACUAUGCUUGAGCAGGAUGAAGCCAGAGGAAACUCUGGUGGAGGUCCGCAGCGGUUCUGACGUGCAAAUCGAUCGUCAGACUUGAGUAUAGGGGCGAAAGACUAAUCGAACCAUC
rnacentral:rRNA from 1 species